rnacentral:lncRNA from 1 species
GACGCCGACGUGGGGCAUGAUGGGAGAAUACUAUGGUUUACGCUGGCGCGGAACUUAAUUUAUAGACACCAAAGGGCUAAAACACUCCGUUUUGAGGUUGGAAGAUGGUUCGGUGGUCAAGAGCACGGCUGCUCUUCUGGAGGACGCAGGUUUGAUUUCUAGCACUCACAACUGCUCACAACCGGUUGUAACUUCAGUUCCAUGGGAUCCUAACCCUCUUUUGAUCUUUGUGGGCUUUGCAUGCCUGUGGUGAAAAAAAAAAAAAAAAAAAAAAAAAAACAACGUGUGUUUUGUGUGUGUGUGUGCAGGGAAAUAAAUGAUAUAUAUAUAAUCUGGCAACCAUGGUCUUAAUUCCUGGAAACUCAGGAGGGAGAAGCAGGCAGUUCUCAGUGAGUUCCAAGUCAGCCACGGCUACAUAAGAGACUCUGUCUCAACAUAAAUAAAUAAAUAAAUAAAUAAAUAAAUAAAUAGCAAUUGAUACUUGGUAAUAUGUAUUGUUUGGUUAUGUACCCCGGGACAAGGGACUGAGGUGCAAAUUUUAUAUUUCAAAGCAGACCUGGCCUCUAGGUUCUCUCAGCAUCCCUCAGUCCCUACCUGGCAUACCCUUGCUGCAACCCUGAACUUUCCAGCCCAGAGGCUGGGCUGCCCUUCCCCCAGAGGCUCUUCCCUAUAUAAACCAGUGUUUUGGUCUUCCUCAUCUCUCCUCCUGCCUUCUCUAUGUUCACACCCUUUCUCUUUUUCUCCCCCUGCUCCCCACUAUGGUGACUUCCUUGGCCUCAGUC